rnacentral:rRNA from 1 species
GCUCAUAUCAUGUUGAAAUAUCGGUUCCCGUACGAUCACUGAAGUUAAGCAACGCCGAGGCCGGCCAGUAUCUAGAUGGGUGACCGCUUCGUAAUACCAGGUUG